AUGGAGAUGCCGGAAGCGAUGCUACAGGAGGAGGCGCUGCUCGCUGCUCAUCGUGCUCCUGCCAGCGUGAUGCCGGAUGCACACAUCAUGCUGCGAGCAGUGGGCGUCUUUGUCGGCGACUCGUGCUUCAAAGGAACAUGGGGGAGGGAGCUCCGUGCUGGUGUUGCAAUGGAACUUCACCGAAGCCGUCGGUGCUGCAUUGGAGCUCCGACGGGGCUGCAAUGGAGCUUCGGGAAGUGGCAAUGGAGCUUCACCAGAGCCGUCGGCGCUGCAUUGGCGCUCUGCCAGAGUUGCAAUGGAGCUUCGCCGGAGCCGUCGACGCUGCAGUGGAGCUCCACCGGAGUUGUAGUGGAGCUUCACCGGAGCCCGUUGGUGCUGCGUUUGAGCUCCGACGGGGCUGCAAUGGAGUAGGACCCUGGCGUCUGGCCCCUGGCCCGCAUGACCCACCAGCCCGUUGACCUGCUGACGUGGAAAAGGAUCCAGAUGCUAGGAACCCUGUCGUCUGGCCCUGGAAAAAGUUCCCAAUCGGAAGACAACUCACUUGAAUUGUUUGCCACAAAGGUUGAAUGUCCUUGGUUUAUAAUUGAUUUGAACCGGCAUGUCUCUUCCCCAAUGGAUGACAUGAGCAAGAGGACAAUGGUGCCACUUCUUGAGCACAGGGUUGUGGUUGAUGCUCCCAAUGCUUAUCGCCAACCACAUCCCCGUCUACCAUCUAGUGAAGCAAAUGAGAUUGAGCUGUAUGCCCCCAAUGCUUGUAGCCAACCACCAACUAGCCAAGCAAAUGAAGUUGAGGUGAUUGCUAGUGACGAAGUAAUUCAAGAGGAUGAAGAUUCUCAUGAUGACGACGAAGAGCAAGAGGAAGGGUUUCAUGGUAAUGAUGUUGGUGACUUGGAUGCGUACAUAGCGCAAAAGGACAUGGAUCAUGAGUUGCCUUUUAGGCAUCAAUAUGCCUAUGACUUGGAUGAUGAGGGUCCGGGUGAAGAGUUGGACGAGGAUGGAUUCACAAAGGAGGAAAACCAAAUCCACUUUGAGCUGACGGGCUUAGAAAAAAGAACUCACUUGUUUCAAGAUCUCAGCCUUGCCCAUAAAGUUGUUGUUGAUGGUGGAAUGAGAAUGACGAUGAUUGAGCCAACACCAUGCUCGGAUCCAGGCGAACCAAGGGAGGAGAACAAGAACGAUAAUGCUCAUUUGAAGAAAGGAGUGAAGUUUCUGAUCUUGCCUAUGCUGAAGUUUUGGUUGUCUGACUAUGCCAUUCGGAACCAUAGGCCCUUUUAUGUUGAGCACUCGGACAUGAAGUUGCGUUACACCGUGAAGUGUGAGCAAGAAGGAUGCCCAUUCAAGUAUGGGAAGGCAUGGAAGGCAAAGGCAAAUGCUAUUAGGAUGUUGUAUGGUGGUUACGAAGAAGCAUACAACCAGCUCCCCAGGUUGUUGGGCGCAAUUGCACAUAGGAACCCGGGCAUGUUUCAUGUGGUCGAUGAUCACGAGGGAGUGUUCCACCAUGCCUUUUGGAGUUAUGGACAAUGUGUGGAGGCGUUUGAGCAUUAUCGUCCGGUCUUGUCUAUAGAUGGCACAUUCUUGUCCGGUAGAUACAAGGGCACACAAAUGGUAGCAAUGGCGCACUCAUCAAACGACAAUGUGUUGCCAGUGGCAUUUGCUUUGGUUCCUUCCGAGCACCAAGACAACUGGGAGUGGUUCAUGGGUCAUGUUAGGCACAAGGUGAUUGGGGCUAGGGAGGUAUGCAUCAUAUCAGACCGGCACCAUGGCAUACUCAAGGCAAUGGACAUUGUUAUUCCAGGAUUUCCCAAGCUUCACCACAGAUGGUGCAUGAGGCAUUUCGUGGCCAACUUUUAUCGGGCAUGUAAGAGCAAGGAGCUCAGCAAAGACCUUACCCAUGUAUGUGUGGCCUUCACCACCGAUGCUUUCGAUGCUCGGUACAACAAACUCUUUGCAGCUAUGAACGAAGGGGGAAAAGACUUCUUAACUAGGAAUUUCAACGAGAAGCACAAGUGGGCACGCACUCAUGAUGAUGGAGGUAGGCGAUAUGGCGACAUGACGAGCAACCUGGUUGAGUGUUUCAACAAUGCGCUCAAGGGUGCUCGUUCAUUGCCGGGGACUUCAAUAGUGGAGUAUACCUUCUUCAAGCUUAAUGAGUACUUUCAGAGGCAUUCUGAAGAGACUGUAAAAUACCCUCUCCUGAAGGCGGAGACCAAGGGUAGAAGGAUAACUAAGAGGUUCCGGGGUGAUAUGGAUGACCUGGCUGGAUACACUGGCAUGAAGCAAUUUGGUAGAGGUCAUUUCAUGGAGGCUCCUGACACUAUCAAUUGUGGGGGGCAUGGCUUCACCCGGUUCCAGGAUGAGGCCGUCGUGCGUGGACAAGAGGACAUGCCGAAGACAUGGAUGGGGGCCAGGUUGGACAAGGAUAAGGAUGUGCCCACACCACCAUGUUGGUGUGGUGAUGUUUGCAACGUGAAGGUGUCCACUGACCGCAAGAAGUAA
rnacentral:rRNA from 1 species